rnacentral:misc_RNA from 1 species
UUUCCGUAGGUGAACCUGCGGAAGGAUCAUUAUUAAAUGAAACACUUCUGGCUUUAUGCUGUUGUGCUGGCCCUUUGGGCAAUGUGCACACGGCUCUGGUCACUUGUUUCUUCUGUUCCACCUGUGCACUGCCUGUAGACACGCUGUGUCUAUGAUAUUUGUUAACACACAACAAUGUUAGUUGGCAUGUUAUAUAUAAUAAUAAAAUAUACAACUUUCAACAACGGAUCUCUUGGCUCUCGCAUCGAUGAAGAGCGCAGC